rnacentral:rRNA from 1 species
CCUACGGGAGGCAGCAGUGAGGAAUAUUGGUCAAUGGACGGAAGUCUGAACCAGCCAAGCCGCGUGCAGGAAGACGGCUCUAUGAGUUGUAAACUGCUUUUGUACAAGGGUAAACCUGAAUACGUGUAUUCAGCUGAAAGUACUGUACGAAUAAGGAUCGGCUAACUCCGUGCCAGCAGCCGCGGUAAUACGGAGGAUCCAAGCGUUAUCCGGAUUUAUUGGGUUUAAAGGGUGCGUAGGCGGAUUGAUAAGUUAGAGGUGAAAUGUCCGGGCUUAACUCGGGAACUGCCUCUCAUACUGUUGUUCUAGAGAGUAGGUGAGGUAGGCGGAAUGUAUGGUGUAGCGGUGAAAUGCUUAGAGAUCAUGCAGAACACCGAUUGCGAAGGCAGCUUACCAAUCUAUAUCUGACGUUGAGGCACGAAAGCGUGGGGAGCAAACAGGAUUAGAUACCCCAGUAGUC